rnacentral:lncRNA from 1 species
GCCGUUAUAUGUCUAUAUAUGUUUUAAUGACCUCAAGCUCAGAGAUCUGCUAGUGAUCUCACCUUUAGAUAACAUCUGAGUUGAAUGUCUGUGGAGUCCCCUGCCACUGGUAUAUCUCAAAAGAAAUAGCAUUAUUUGGUCUGGGCAGUACUGUCUUUGUCUAUUUAUCUAUCUUCACCUCUAUAAAGUGGGAGGUUGCAACUCUGUGGGCAGUAUUCCUCAGGGCACUAGAACAAUGAAUGAAAUGGUGUUACGUAUUUUCCCCUCAAGGAGAAAUGACUUCUUAAACCCCAAGUGGAAGAUUUUUCAUUCCGUCAUUAGUAUUCUAGUAUUCUUUUUGAAAUUGAAGUAGCAACAUGCCUUUGACCUGUUUCACAAAGUUGACAAACGACUUUUUGAGACAUUUAGCCAAGAGAUGGAAGGAGUGGCAGAUGUGGCUUCUGAGCUUACUCCUUCCGUCCACCCACUAGAUGUCUCUCUUUUCUGCCCUUAUCUGUAAGUGAAUAUAUUUAAAUAAGGCUUGCUAUUAAAAUCAAAUUGAAUCUGGACUAUGGAAAUAAUGCAUUUCAUUUUCUUAUUUAAAGCAUGCCAUUUUCAGUAAUAUACCCAUGACUUGAGUAAAACCAAAGAUGUUCUUUAGGGUAUGACAGUAAUUUGCAGUGGGAUUUAUUUAUCA